CCAUACGUUGUCUUGUCCUGCGGAGCAUCCAGUCAGUGUCCUGUCCAGCGGAGUUCCCAAUCAGUGUCCUGUCCAGCGAAGUACCCAGUCAGCAUCUCAGCCUGCAAUUAAUCAACACAAUUAAUUUAUAAAUUCAUAAUUUAACCACCAAAUGUGAUAUUGGAUUGCCGUUGCUUCAUAACUGUUGUCCGUUAUAACUGUUGCUGCAUUACCGUUGUCACCGUUAUUACCGUUGUCACCGUUUUAACUAUUGCCAUCAUUAUCACCGUUCAUCAUUACUGUGCAGAAACUGUGGAGAAUUUGUCGAAAUCAUCGUGUGGAAUUUUCAUCAUUUAUCCUGCUUUUAAAACGAAGAUGGAGUUGAGAACUAUGUUCACGCCGGGGAGGAAUGUUGAGCUAAGAAACAGAACGCCACCCACCAACUAGUCUUCAAUUUGAUUGUUUUUAUAAAGUUAUAUAAUUGUAAAUGUCAAAUUCAAAUUCUGCUUAUCAUGUUUCAUUUUUAUUGUUGUACCAUUAUGCCUAUUUUGUGACAAUAAUGUCAAGAAAAUAAAUCAUUCUUCUUUAUAACGUUGGAACGAAAA